AUACACGAACAAAGUUGGAACUGCACUCACGGACUUCAAUUUCAAAAUUCCUCUUUAUUGCAUAAAAUUAAGAGGAAUUUUGAAAUUGAAGUCCGUGAGUGCACUUCCAACUUUGUUUGUGUGGAUACCAAUCCCCCUCCAAGGACUGGCACCCGGCAAGUUAAAGGACUAUGGGGUAAAAGUAUUUCACCCUUGU